GAUGAACGCUGGCGGCGUGCCUAAUACAUGCAAGUCGAGCGAAUGGAUUAAGAGCUUGCUCUUAUGAAGUUAGCGGCGGACGGGUGAGUAACACGUAGGUAACCUGCCCAUAAGACUGGGAUAACUCCGGGAAACCGGGGCUAAUACCGGAUAACAUUUUGAACCGCAUGGUUCGAAAUUGAAAGGCGGCUUCGGCUGUCACUUAUGGAUGGACCCGGGUCGCAUUAGCUAGUUGGUGAGGUAACGGCUCACCAAGGCAACGAUGCGUAGCCGACCUGAGAGGGUGAUCGGCCACACUGGGACUGAGACACGGCCCAGACUCCUACGGGAGGCAGCAGUAGGGAAUCUUCCGCAAUGGACGAAAGUCUGACGGAGCAACGCCGCGUGAGUGAUGAAGGCUUUCGGGUCGUAAAACUCUGUUGUUAGGGAAGAACAUGUGCUAGUUGAAUAAGCUGGCACCUUGACGGUACCUAACCAGAAAGCCACGGCUAACUACGUGCCAGCCGCCGCCGUAA
rnacentral:rRNA from 1 species